AGUGAACGCUGGCGGCGUGCCUAAUACAUGCAAGUCGAACGAAGUGGCGCACGGGUGGGUAAUAUAUAGUUAAUCUGCCCUACACAGAGGAACAACAGUUGGAAACGACUGCUAAUACCUCAUAGUGUAGGAUGAGACUAUAUCGUAUCAGCUAGUUGGUAAGGUAAUGGCUUACCAAGGGUAUGACGCGUAACUGGUCUGAGAGGAUGAUCAGUAGAAUUGGAACUGAGGCACGGGUCGGGAACCUACGGGAAGGAGGCGUAAGGAUUAUUGCGCAAUGGGGGAGAACCAGAAGGGGAAACGCGGCGUGGAGGAUGACACGUUUCGGAGAAUAAACUCCUUUUAUCAGGAAAGCGGUACCUGAUGAAUAAGCACCGGCUAACUCCGUGCCAGCAGCCGCGGUAAUAC
rnacentral:rRNA from 1 species